rnacentral:tRNA from 1 species
GCGCCCAUAGCUCAGCAGGAUAGAGCGCAGAAUUCCUAAUUCUGAGGCCACUGGUUCGAAUCCAGUUGGGCGCACCA